UAGAUCUCAAAUCAGGUAGGACUACCCGCUGAAC
rnacentral:rRNA from 1 species